GAUGAACGCUGGCGGCGUGCCUAAUACAUGCAAGUCGAGCGAGAAGUUUACUAUUGAUACUUCGGUAAAUUUAGUAAACGGGAAGCGGCGGACGGGUGAGUAACGCGUAGGCAACCUACCUUGUACAGAGGGAUAGCCGUUGGAAACGACGAUUAAAACCUCAUAACACCAUCAUUUCACAUGAGGAGAUGGUCAAAGAUUUAUCGGUACAAGAUGGGCCUGCGUCUGAUUAGUUAGUUGGUGAGGUAACGGCUCACCAAGGCAGCGAUCAGUAGCCGACCUGAGAGGGUGAUCGGCCACAUUGGAACUGAGACACGGUCCAAACUUCUACGGAAGGCAGCAGUAUGGAAUCUUGCACAAUGGGCGAAAGCCUGAUGCAGCAACGCCGCGUGAAGGAUGAAGGCCUUAGGGUCG
rnacentral:rRNA from 1 species